rnacentral:ncRNA from 1 species
AAUAGUAAAUGCAGUAAAAACUAUCGGAAGAAAAAAAUAAAAUGUACAAUCAUACCGUAACGAAACCGUUCGCGAUGUUAUGUAUGUGUUACGAAACAACAAAACUCAAGAUAAUAAGCGUAAUAUGUGUCAAAAAUUUAUAUGUAAUACUCAUUUUUAGCGGUUAGCUUAUGGCAGAAGGAAAGAGAGAUAAAGGAUAGGCGGAAAAAGGGAAAGAUUGUGGCGUUUCGUCCUAGACCUCCUAGUAGACUCUUCAGUAAAGCUACCUGGCAAAAGAGGAGACACAUGCGUCGCUUUGAUGACCGAAUCUUGGUGAUAGUAGCAAAUAUUUCAGCGAAGAUCUGGAGGACUGCCGUGGAGAAGGGUUUCGUGUGAACAGCCGUUGCACACGAGUCAGUCGAUCGUAAGCCCUAUGAGAAAUCAUAUGCAGAUGAGGUGUCCUUAAUAUGCAACGCGACGUAUUCGAACGCUAGGUACGUACUCCCAUCGGGCGAAAGGAAAUCUAGUUCCUAUUCCGGAACCCGGUAGCGGAACUGAAAUCCAUUCGGACUGAAGUAUUCGUCGGGGUAACCCACAAUGACCUGGAGACGCCGUUGGGGAGAGUUUUCGUUUUUGUAUAAGCGUUCGAGUUCCCUGGAAACUUCUAGCAAGGAGAUAGAGUUUGGAACGCGAAGAGCACCGCAGUGGCGGCGGUCUCCGGAUAUUCCCCUCGGACCUGGAAAAUCCAGAAGAGGGCCACGUAGAGGUGUCCGCAGCAAGUCUCCAAGGUUAAUAGCCUCUAGUCGAUAAAUUAAUGUAGGUAAGGGAAGUCGACAAAUUGGAUCCGUAACUUCGGGAUAAGGAUUAGCUCUGAGGAGCGGGGCGUGUCGGGCUUGGACGGGUAGUGGACGAAGUGAACCGGUAGUGUCCACUUGGGGAUCCGAGCUCGGUCCCGUGCCUUGGCUUCCCGCGGAUCUUCCUUGCUGCGUGACUUCCGUUGGAGGCCUACCGUCAGCGGUCGUUCUCUUCGACCGCCAUUCAACGCUCAGCUCAGAACUAGCAUGGAAUCGGGGAAGCCGACUGUCUAAUUAAAACAAAGCAUUGCGAUGGCCCCUACGGGUGUUGACGCAAUGUGAUUUCUGCCCAGUGCUCUGAAUGUCAACGUGAAGAAAUUAAAAAAAGCGCAGGUAAACGGCGAGAGUAGAUAGCGGAUUGCGCGUGAAGCAUUUAGUGGAUGCCGGAUAUAACCGGCGCUAGCCAGUUUGAAGCAUUUAGUGGAUGCCGGAUAUAACCGGCGCUAGUCGCGAAAGGGUUAAAGUCGUAUUGUGACAAUUUAGUGCGAUAAAUUAUCGUAGAUUUGGAAAUAUGACUUUUGGCCAGGAUUUCGACGAAUUCAGCCACUGUGCGACGCGUCGUAGCGCGAGAAGAUUCGCGGAAAGCGUGGCCUGCCAUUGUCCGCGAGGGCGAGCGGCGGGAACGACGGGGUCGGGGUUUAGUUUUCAACGGGCGAUCGAGGAAGGCGAAAAUAGCCGGUCGCCAAUGAAAGAUCCGCGUCGGUAACAAACAUUAUGUUACAAAAGUUGUGAAAUGAAGACUACUAUCCCAAUCCGUGAUCGAGGAUACGACAGAACACGUCUAUCAUUAAUAAAAUUCAAUCAAUGCUUUCCUGUGAACCCUAAAUUUGAUCUACUUGAGCUCAUAUUGGACAAAGCUUUAUCUCUUUCGACAGACCAGCUAAUAGGGAAUCUCAUCGCAGGUAAAGGAGCAGGGUCGGCAGUUGAUAGGUUGACACGGAGCUUCGCGAUCCGGGUGACUUCUUAAAAUUCAUCGAUGCCAAUGGGUUUCCUCCUAAUGAAAGAUCUAUCGGAUUACGGGAAAAAGAAAGGGAAGGGAAAGUUGAUACCCGAUUGUUUGGCGUUACCACAUUAUCUAAAAGGAUGUGCAUUGUAUUGACUGAGAUAAUGUUAGCGGUACACAUAUUACCAUUGUUUCCCGAGAUUGCAAUGACUGACGAUGAGUUAUCAUUGGAUAAGAAGAGAUAUCAAUUUACGAAACGGCAAAAGGUAUAUCGGCAUUUAUUCACUAGUUCAGAUUUUGCUAAAUGGAACUCUAAUAUGAGAGAGGAAGAAACAAUCGGAAUUUUCGAGGAUUUUGGUAGCUUAUUUGGAUUUGAACGAAUUUAUUCUUGUACACGUGAAAUGUUCAACACCUCUUUUAUGUACUCAUUAAAUGGAUCUUAUCUCCCGACUUUCUCAGGGGGUUAUUUUAUCGGUGACCUCGGGUCUUGGUACGGACACUUUGGGGGGAUAGAAGGGUUGAGACGAAAAGGUUGGACCAUCUGAACAGUGAUUCUCAUCUUAUUAGCAACUGAAGAACACGACAUCAAGAUUAGUCUCGUGUACUUAACAUAUAAAGGAGCUGCCCUCCCUACUGCCUAGAAGAGGCUAUGCCGAAUGUUCAGGGAAUCUAAUGAAGAUUUCCCAUCUUUAGAAUCCACAUUGUCCUCUUUUGCAGCCAAUUUGUCUUCAGCAUUUGUCUGUUCACAUUCUCCGGGAUAUUUACGUUACACCUAUAUAUUGGAAGCAGUGGGGGCGAUCCAGAACUUCGUGAAUAACUCGUAUCUUCAAAAGAAGUCUCCUAAAGAAGAUUUUUCAAGACUUGCCUACAUAAGAAUCCCCUCGGACCAGAGGGUCCGAUAUUCCUAUACCAACCAUGUUCCGCAAUGGUGAAUUAAUACCUAAUAGCUUCUUUGUCAAAUUGCUAUUGUUACCACGAGCUCUUGGGGCUCUCCCGAUCAUAUCUCUUUUGCAAGCUCUUGUAAGGGGAUUCCCAGAUGAGGUUUCUCUUGCAAUCAGUAUGCUUCGGAAGUAUCAUCCUCGUCCUAGCGUGUCGCUCAAUUCUCUUAAUGGCUUGCGCCAGAUGACGAACUGGCUAAUCUAAAGGAAACGAUUUGAUGAAACGAACGGACUUAAAUUGUAAAAACACAGUGGCCACUUAAAAUGAAGCCUCGGACGCAGAGGCUCCCGGUUCUGGCGCCGACACAGUGCGGAGGUGCUCGGGGUGCCGGAAAUGCGUUUCGAAGUUUCGACUCCGAACUCCGCAAUCGGCGGCGGAUCGAGGCCAGUACAAACCAAGGUGGAGACCGACCAGGCAAUAGAGCCUCGGCCUGGUCCCAGGAGGAGGUAGACCUCCUGAAGGAACUCAAUAAACGUUUUAAGCAUUUGAAACAGCCCAAUGUGACUAUUAGAGAGUUCCUCUCUGGCGAAACGGGAGCAGGGUACUUCGGCCGAGGUAAAGUGCUCCUCACCAGUGUCCUCGGGUGAGGAGUAUCACUCGGCCGAGAAAGAUAUAAUGCCAGAUAGCUCUACCCGCGCUCUGAUUGGCCGUUUUUCCUUAAUAAUUCAAAAACGAAGCUUCAGCAAACAUUUUGUUAAAGGAAAAAGUUGUUCAGAGUCACCCCAGCAACUCCCCAUUUCCGGGUGUUCGAGGAGUUACGGGACACCCUGUAUGUAAAUCGGCUUAUAUCUACAUUUUUCCAUUCUCCUAUAAGUUUUCGUGUAAAAUCGUAACAAAUAAUUUCGUUUCAUCAUUUCUAAGUGCAUUUAGCUUGGCUUAAAGUAGUAAAAUGAUUUUGGUCAACUUUUUUAGAAAUACUUCACUGUGCGGCGGUCGAGGAAAAGGUUACUGCCUGUAGAUACGGCAGUGA